rnacentral:rRNA from 1 species
CCUACGGGAGGCAGCAGUGGGGAAUAUUGCACAAUGGGGGAAAGCCUGAUGCAGCAAAGCCGCGUGAAGGAAGACGGUAUUCGGAUUGUAAACUUCUGUUCUUAGUGAAGAAUAAUGUAGGUAGCUACGCAGCAAGCCACGGCUGACUACGUGCCAGCAGCCGCGGUAAGACGCAGGUGGCGAGCGUUGUUCGUAAUUACGGGGUGUAAAGGGAGCGCAGGAGGGAAUCCAAGUUCGGUGUGAAAACUACGGGCUUAAAUUGUAGCCUGCAGUUGAAACUGGUUGUCUUGAGUGAAGGAGAGGUUGGGGGAAUGCGGGGUGGAGCGGUGAAAUGCGUAGAUAUUGGGAAGAACGCCGGUGGCGAAGGCGGCAUACUGGGCCUUAACUGACGCUGAGGCUCGAAAGUGUGGGGAGCAAACAGGAUUAGAUACCCUAGUAGUC